UUUUCUCAUUUUUGUAGAGAUUAUUGGUUAUGACAAGCAGUACCCGACCCUUGAUUUCUCCAAAUGACAAUCAGCUUGCCUCCUGGAGAAGAGGAGAUCUGGAAGUCCCAACUUCAAGGUCACCCUUCGAGUCCCCCCAGACCAUCAGGCCUGCAGGCCAGGGCAGCCCCAGUCAUCUCCUAUCCUAGACCAACCUCAAUGCAAACACCACGGGGUCCCGUAUCUCCAGCACGUGGCUGAAAGCAGCAUUCUCCUAAGAAUUUCCUCAAAUGUGUGAAACACUUUGGGAAGCAGCGUGUUGAAACACAAAAACACUGAAUUCACAGGGAGCAGAUGUACAUGUGAAUCCUGACGGCUGGGCUACCUUUGGCAUCGGUGUAUCUGUGGAAAAAGACCUCAGGCUGUCCCAACCUCAGUUUCUUCAUCUGUUGUGAGGAUUAUGAAUAAAAGUACGCAGUAAACUUUGAACUUCUACCAAGU